ACCAAUUGGGCAUGAUCUUCAGCAUAGGAAAUGUCUUAGAAUUUUAUUAUUUUUUCCUAAAUUGUGAUGCUAUACUACUUGUAUAGCUAGUUACCACAUUUCUAAAGCAUAGUGUGCCUCUGUGAAUCUUGUUAUAUACUGUUUGGGCUUCUGUAAGAUAUUUUGAAGUUUGAAAAGCAAAUACUGAAACUUUAACCAAGAGACUGACACAUCUCUUUGUACACCACGUUGCUUCUGUGUGCAUCAUAAUAACUGGUAGAAGUAAUAUAUUUAAAGUAAUAUGUUUCCAGUUUUAAUUUAUGCUUUCUAAGAAAUAAAAAUAUGUUUUCUGGGUCAACAAAACUUAAAGCAUGAAGCCCUUUUUAGUAACGUGACAUCAGAAUAAGAUUAUAGGUAUAUUUUUAAAAUCAGAUUUUCUAAACUACAAUUGUUUUAGAACACUGUAUGAAGAACUUAUCUAGUCAUAGUUAUUUGUAGUCAGGAUUUUAACAGCUUGCAACAGGUAAUGUUUUGAAUAUAAAUAUCUUUCCAAAGUGUUACUAAUGGUAAAGAGAUAAUUUUCUAGGCUUCUAUUCUGCUGCUUGAAGUCAGAACUGCUGAUGGAGACAAAGGCACGAAAGUGUACGUAUUCCGGAUUAGCAACCCAGGAACCCAUCACUUCUGAAGACUCUAAACUGUGCUGUCAUUUUGUUUUUAUAUGCAUUAAAAUAUUUGUUUUAAACUGCUGUAGAUGUUUGUGUUCAAACAGGUUAAAUUGAUCAGCAAACUCAAUAAAAAGUAAGAUGUAUAAUUAUUAAAGUUUUCCAUCAAAAAAUAAUUUAAAUGAUUAUGGAAUAACAUAAUAUUUAGAGCAGGGCAGAUAAAUCAGUUGAACCUGCUUAUUUUUUAUUUAUUGUACUCUUUUUCCUGUUGCUGUUCUUUUCUGCAGGAGGGAAAACCCCUGAUCCUAAAAUGAAUGCUAGGACUUACAUGGAUGUAAUGCGAGAACAACACUUGACUAAAGAAGAACGAGAAAUUAGGCAACAGCUAGCAGAAAAAGCUAAAGCUGGAGAACUAAAAGUCGUCAAUGGAGCAGCAGCGUCCCAGCCUCCAUCAAAACGAAAACGGCGUUGGGAUCAAACAGCUGAUCAGACUCCUGGUGCCACUCCCAAAAAACUAUCAAGUUGGGAUCAGGCAGAGACCCCUGGGCAUACUCCUUCCUUAAGAUGGGAUGAGACACCAGGUCGUGCAAAGGGAAGCGAGACUCCUGGAGCAACCCCAGGCUCAAAAAUAUGGGAUCCUACACCUAGCCACACACCAGCGGGAGCUGCUACUCCUGGACGAGGUGAUACACCAGGCCAUGCGACACCAGGCCAUGGAGGCGCAACUUCCAGUGCUCGUAAAAACAGAUGGGAUGAAACCCCCAAAACAGAGAGAGAUACUCCUGGGCAUGGAAGUGGAUGGGCUGAGACUCCUCGAACAGAUCGAGGUGGAGAUUCUAUUGGUGAAACACCGACUCCUGGAGCCAGUAAAAGAAAAUCACGGUGGGAUGAAACACCAGCUAGUCAGAUGGGUGGAAGCACUCCAGUUCUGACCCCUGGAAAGACACCAAUUGGCACACCAGCCAUGAACAUGGCUACCCCUACUCCAGGUCACAUAAUGAGUAUGACUCCUGAACAGCUUCAGGCUUGGCGGUGGGAAAGAGAAAUUGAUGAGAGAAAUCGCCCACUUUCUGAUGAGGAAUUAGAUGCUAUGUUCCCAGAAGGAUAUAAGGUACUUCCUCCUCCAGCUGGUUAUGUUCCUAUUCGAACUCCAGCUCGAAAGCUGACAGCUACUCCAACACCUUUGGGUGGUAUGACUGGUUUCCACAUGCAAACUGAAGAUCGAACUAUGAAAAGUGUUAAUGACCAGCCAUCUGGAAAUCUUCCAUUUUUAAAACCUGAUGAUAUUCAAUACUUUGAUAAACUAUUGGUUGAUGUUGAUGAAUCAACACUUAGUCCAGAAGA
rnacentral:lncRNA from 1 species